UACGAGGGGGGCGAGCGUUGUUCGGAAUUAUUGGGCGUAAAGGGUGCGUAGGCGGUUUGGUAGGUCUUAUGUGAAAUCUACAGGCUCAACUUGUAGUCUGCAUGAGAAACUGCCGGGCUUGAGUAUGGGAGAGGUGAGUGGAAUUCCUGGUGUAGCGGUGAAAUGCGUAGAUAUCAGGAGGAACACCUGUGGCGAAAGCGGCUCACUGGACCAUAACUGACGCUGAUGCACGAAAGCUAGGGGAGCAAACAGG
rnacentral:rRNA from 1 species